rnacentral:rRNA from 1 species
GUAGUCCUAGCCUUAAACGAUGUAUACUUGGUGUAACCGGACUCAACCCUGGUUGUGCCGUAGCUAACGCGAUAAGUAUACCGCCUGGGGAGUACGCUCGCAAGGGUGAAACUCAAAAGAAUUGACGGGGACCCGCACAAGCAGUGGAGCAUGUGGUUUAAUUCGAUGCAACGCGAAGAACCUUACCCAGGUUUGACAUGCAGUGGACGAUACUGGAAACAGUAUUUCUCUUCGGAGCCGCUGCACAGGUGCUGCAUGGCUGUCGUCAGCUCGUGCCGUGAGGUGUUUGGUUAAGUCCAGCAACGAGCGCAACCCUUAUCAUUAGUUGCCAACAUUUAAGGUGGGAACUCUAAUGAGACUGCCUGGGUUAACCAGGA